GAAGCACGGCUUCUCUGGACACAGACGGGGAGCGGAGCUUGCUCCCAAUGAUGCUGCGAGGAAAGUCCCCGUGCCUUGGUGCAGAGAGUGCGUCUGGGAGACCGCAGAGCACAGGUCAGGCUUCCCUCGGCGAUUCUUGUGGCGGAUCCUUGGUGGAAGGCUUCGGCCCUUCGCAGCAGCACAGACACACCGUGAGCGCUCACGACUUGAGCGCCAUCAGAACGGGUCUCACUCUCU
rnacentral:RNase_MRP_RNA from 14 species